AUUGAACGCUGGCGGCAGGCCUAACACAUGCAAGUCGAGCGGAUGAAGGGAGCUUGCUCCUGGAUUCAGCGGCGGACGGGUGAGUAAUGCCUAGGAAUCUGCCUGGUAGUGGGGGAUAACGUCCGGAAACGGGCGCUAAUACCGCAUACGUCCUGAGGGAGAAAGUGGGUGAUCUUCGGACAUCACGCUAUCAGAUGAGCCUAGGUCGGAUUAGUUAGUUGGUGGGGUAAAGGCCUACCAAGGCGACGAUCCGUAACUGGUCUGAGAGGAUGAUCAGUCACACUGGAACUGAGACACGGUCCAGACUCCUACGGGAGGCAGCAGUGGGGAAUAUUGGACAAUGGGCGAAAGCCUGAUCCAGCCAUGCCGCGUGUGUGAAGAAGGUCUUCGGAUUGUAAAGCACUUUAAGUUGGGAGGAAGGGCAGUAAGUUAAUACCUUGCUGUUUUGACGUUACCAACAGAAUAAGCACCGGCUAACUUCGUG
rnacentral:rRNA from 1 species